CAGUCGCCGCGGGAAUACGUAGGUGGCAAGCGUUGUCCGGAAUUAUUGGGCGUAAAGGGCUCGCAGGCGGUUUCUUAAGUCUGAUGUGAAAGCCCCCGGCUUAACCGGGGAGGAUCAUUGGAAACUGGGAAACUUGAGUGCAGAAGAGGAGAGUGGAAUUCCACGUGUAGCGGUGAAAUGCGUAGAGAUGUGGAGGAACACCAGUGGCGAAGGCGACUCUCUGGUCUGUAACUGACGCUGAGGAGCGAAAGCGUGGGGAGCGAACAGGAUUAGAUACCCCUGUAGUCCCUGUCUCUUAUAA
rnacentral:rRNA from 1 species